rnacentral:hammerhead_ribozyme from 1 species
AUCCAGAUAACGAGUCCCAAAUAGGACGAAAUCUGCAUUCUGGAU